rnacentral:lncRNA from 1 species
UAGUUCAAUUUGGAUCGGUUUGGAUUUUAAAUUUUCUCCAAUCCAUUUACUCUCCUAAUUACAUGUGGGUCUGUAGUGAUUUCAUUUCUAAACUACAACAAUCCGUCUCAGUCCAAUUCUUGUAUAAUGAGCACUAUUAUUGGGAGACUUGAAUAGAACUUUAUAUUCACAAAAUCUUGAAAAUCUGUUGGUUGAAAGCUUGCUU